rnacentral:lncRNA from 1 species
GGAGUUUCGCUCUGUCGCCUAGGCUGGAGUGCAGUGGUGCGAUGUUGGCCCACUGCAAGCUCCGCCCCUGGGUUCAUGCCAUUCUCCUGUCUCAGCCUCCUGAGUAGCUGGGACUACAGGUGUGUGCCACUAUGCCGGGCUAAUUUUUUGUAUUUUUAGUAGAGACGGGGUUUCCAUGUUGGCCAGGCUGGUCUGGAACUCCUGGCCUCAAAUGAUCCGCCCGCCUCGGCCUCACAAAGUGCUGGGAUUACAAGCAUGAGCCACUGUGC